GACGGAGGAUGCAAGUGUUAUCCGGAAUCACUGGGCGUAAAGCGUCUGUAGGUGGUUUAAUAAGUCAACUGUUAAAUCUUGAGGCUCAACCUCAAAAUCGCAGUCGAAACUAUUAGGCUAGAGUAUAGUAGGGGUAAAGGGAAUUUCCAGUGGAGCGGUGAAAUGCGUAGAGAUUGGAAGGAACACCGAUGGCGAAGGCACUUUGCUGGGCCGACACUGACACUGAGAGACGAAAGCUAGGGGAGCGAAUGGG
rnacentral:rRNA from 1 species